rnacentral:rRNA from 1 species
GAUGAACGCUGGCGGCGUGCCUAAUACAUGCAAGUCGAGCGAACGGACGAGAAGCUUGCUUUUCUGAUGUUAGCGGCGGACGGGUGAGUAACACGUGGAUAACCUACCUAUAAGACUGGGAUAACUUCGGGAAACCGGAGCUAAUACCGGAUAAUAUUUUGAACCGCAUGGUUCAAAAGUGAAAGACGGUCUUGCUGUCACUUAUAGAUGGAUCCGCGCUGCAUUAGCUAGUUGGUAAGGUAACGGCUUACCAAGGCAACGAUGCAUAGCCGACCUGAGAGGGUGAUCGUCCACACUGGAACUGAGACACGGUCCAGACGCCUACGGGAGGCAGCAGUAGGGAAUCUUCCGCAAUGGGCGAAAGCCUGACGGAGCAACGCCGCGUGAGUGAUGAAGGUCUUCGGAUCGUAAAACUCUGUUAUUAGGGAAGAACAUAUGUGUAAGUAACUGUGCACAUCUUGACGGUACCUAAUCAGAAAGCCACGGCUAACUACGUG